AGAGUUUGAUCCUGGCUCAGGAUGAACGCUGGCGGCGUGCCUAAUACAUGCAAGUCGAGCGAACGGACGAGAAGCUUGCUUCUCUGAUGUUAGCGGCGGACGGGUGAGUAACACGUGGAUAACCUACCUAUAAGACUGGGAUAACUUCGGGAAACCGGAGCUAAUACCGGAUAAUAUUUUGAACCGCAUGGUUCAAAAGUGAAAGACGGUCUUGCUGUCACUUAUAGAUGGAUCCGCGCUGCAUUAGCUAGUUGGUAAGGUAACGGCUUACCAAGGCAACGAUGCAUAGCCGACCUGAGAGGGUGAUCGGCCACACUGGAACUGAGACACGGUCCAGACUCCUACGGGAGACAGCAGUAGGGAAUCUUCCGCAAUGGGCGAAAGCCUGACGGAGCAACGCCGCGUGAGUGAUGAAGGUCUUCGGAUCGUAAAACUCUGUUAUUAGGGAAGAACAUAUGUGUAAGUAACUGUGCACAUCUUGACGGUACCUAAUCAGAAAGCCACGGCUAACUACGUGCCAGCAGCCGCGGUAAUACGUAGGUGGCAAGCGUUAUCCGGAAUUAUUGGGCGUAAAGCGCGCGUAGGCGGUUUUUUAAGUCUGAUGUGAAAGCCCACGGCUCAACCGUGGAGGGUCAUUGGAAACUGGAAAACUUGAGUGCAGAAGAGGAAAGUGGAAUUCCAUGUGUAGCGGUGAAAUGCGCAGAGAUAUGGAGGAACACCAGUGGCGAAGGCGACUUUCUGGUCUGUAACUGACGCUGAUGUGCGAAAGCGUGGGGAUCAAACAGGAUUAGAUACCCUGGUAGUCCACGCCGUAAACGAUGAGUGCUAAGUGUUAGGGGGUUUCCGCCCCUUAGUGCUGCAGCUAACGCAUUAAGCACUCCGCCUGGGGAGUACGACCGCAAGGUUGAAACUCAAAGGAAUUGACGGGGACCCGCACAAGCGGUGGAGCAUGUGGUUUAAUUCGAAGCAACGCGAAGAACCUUACCAAAUCUUGACAUCCUUUGACAACUCUAGAGAUAGAGCCUUCCCCUUCGGGGGACAAAGUGACAGGUGGUGCAUGGUUGUCGUCAGCUCGUGUCGUGAGAUGUUGGGUUAAGUCCCGCAACGAGCGCAACCCUUAAGCUUAGUUGCCAUCAUUAAGUUGGGCACUCUAAGUUGACUGCCGGUGACAAACCGGAGGAAGGUGGGGAUGACGUCAAAUCAUCAUGCCCCUUAUGAUUUGGGCUACACACGUGCUACAAUGGACAAUACAAAGGGCAGCGAAACCGCGAGGUCAAGCAAACCCAUAAAGUUGUUCUCAGUUCGGAUUGUAGUCUGCAACUCGACUACAUGAAGCUGGAAUCGCUAGUAAUCGUAGAUCAGCAUGCUACGGUGAAUACGUUCCCGGGUCUUGUACACACCGCCCGUCACACCACGAGAGUUUGUAACACCCGAAGCCGGUGGAGUAACCUUUUAGGAGCUAGCCGUCGAAGGUGGGACAAAUGAUUGGGGUGAAGUCGUAACAAGGUAGCCGUAUCGGAAGGUGCGGCUGGAUCACCU
rnacentral:rRNA from 1 species